GCCUUGGCAGUAAGAGGCGAUGAAAGACGUGAUACUCUGCGAUAAGCCAUGGGGAGCUGAGAAUAAGCUUUGAUCCAUGGAUUUCUGAAUGGGGCAACCCACCUGACAGUUUCAUAUUGUUGCGCAAGCACUCAAUAUGUCGCUGAAACAGGUACUUUUAACCUGAAUACAUAGGGUUUUAAGAGCAAACCCGGGGAACUGAAACAUCUAAGUACCCGGAGGAGAAGAAAACAAAAGUGAUUCCGAUAGUAGCGGCGAGCGAACUUGGAUUAGCCCAAACCAAUAUUGUUACGGCAAUAUUGGGGUUGUAGGACUACGAUA
rnacentral:rRNA from 16 species